GGCGUACAUAGGCCUGGGAUGGGGAAGAAGGGAAAGAAGGGCCCCCAACUUCCUUUUUCAGAAUUGCUACUGCAUCUCACCCCAUUAAUUCAGUGCCUGACACUGUCCCCCAGAAGGGAGGGGCAGCAGGAAGGUCCUGUGUGUGUGUGUGUGUGCGCGCGUGUGCGUGUGUGUGUGCAUGUGCGUGUGCGUGUCUUUCUUCUUCUAGGGAAGGCCUGCCCUGGGAAGCAGCCCCUACAGCUAGGCCAGCUGCAGGCCAGGCUGAGAGCUCCCUCCCUGUCCCUACCCUCAAGUAUUUAUAGAAGUUAUUUUGGGAAUUUUCUUUCUGAGCUCAAGGCACAUUCCUGGGAUUCUGUAACAGCCUUUCCAGCUGGGAAGCAGGGAAGUAGCUAGAGGUGCUAGAGCCUCCUGGUCCCAGGAGCCCUCUUCAAGGGGACCCUAGGGCUGCAGGGAGGAGCCUGGGGUGGGGUCACCUCUGAGGCUGCUCCCUCCACCCACCCUGAGGCUGACACACCCUGUGGUGUGUGUGGGGGGAGGGGGUCGGCCCACAUUCCAGCUCCAGCUCAGCCACCCCACCCCCCCACCUCCCAGCAGGCCCCAGGUCCUCCCAGGUGUGUCAGCCUCAACCUGUCCAACCAGACUGGGAAUGAGCUGUCUCUCCAGGCUGAGAACAGAGCCCACAUAUCACCACAUCCCUCCUGGACCUGGGGCAGCUCCAAGGCCCCAGGGGCUGGUCCUCCCUCCCCUUUAGGAGAAGGGGCACAAAUCCUUCUAGACUCCACCCAGCACCUGAUUGACAAGCUCCACCGAUUCACUUGGAGCCCAGCAAGGUGGGGGUCUUUGGGAGUAGCAGAGGUGGCCAUGCUCCUGUGGCAGAACCCAGGCCUGCCUUCCUCCUCCUGUCCCUCACCCUCACAGAGGUGAGAUGUCCAGGAACACCAGUGGGCCUCUAGGCUCAGCCUCUCGGUGGGUCUCUCGGUGGGGGUUGUCUUCACAAGGCCAGGGCCAGGCUCAGAGAUAAACACUGGCUUGAUGAGAAGGCCUAUCACGUCCUGGGGGGUUCCCUUGCCAGCCCUGUCCCUAGGCAGGGGGCUGGGCCUUUCCUCCUCCCACAUUCUGGGCUGGUUUCAGGUUCUGGGCCGGCUGGAGGCUCUGCCUACCCAGGAGCACAGCUAGGCCCUCAGGGCUAGGUCAGGAGCCUGGACUUCAUGUUCUCAAAGUGAAUACCCUGUGGUGGGCAGUGAGUGGGGUGGUGCCAUUUCAGAAGCUCCCCUCUCUGGGCAGGAGGGGUGGGUGCUGGCAUACUGGACAAGGGGAAGGCUGGACCCUGCUGCACCCUCCAGACACGAUGAGUCUUUCAGACCAUCGAUUCUGGAGCGAAAUUAAGCCGACAGUGCUUAACUAUUGUUCUGACCUGAGUCUAUGACAGCCUGACAGAAGGCAUCCCUUCCACUUCCUCGUCAGGGUUGGUGAGGACUUCAGGAGACCACAGUGAAGCCCAAGAUUUUCUAAAAGUCCUGAGCCAGAGCCAGGGGAACCUGCCUUCACCCUCUCGCAGGUCUCUGAACCAGGGCUGAGGGUGCGUCGUGUGGUCUGGGGGCUGUGUCAGCCCAGGAAUGAGGUGGGUGGACACGGGCCUGAACCCCAGUGAGGCCUAUGCUGGCCUUGCCCUCCCACCUCCCCACACAGUGAGCCUUUGGAACUCCCUUCUCCCUCCCCAUCCACUCUACUUCCCCACCAGGGAAUGCAGACCUCAGGUAGUACUGGGAAGGGACGAGGGAGAGAAAACUCGCAAUAAAACCACAGCAGGAGGAGGUCAAAUGGCCAACAAGACGUUCCUGCUGAACUUUCCUGCCAAACAGAGCAAUGUUCCUGUCUACCGGAGCUGGUAGGGCAGAAGCUGACUGUGAAGAGGGCCUGUAUGUGUGUGAGAGAACUCAGGGUCUCUGCACACCCAGCACAAGACUUCCGGGCCUUCCGGUUCCUUCAGGCUGCCUGCAUUCUCAAAGCCACCUGCCACAGCUCAGGAAGCCAACAAGGAGGGAGAAGCCUAGAGCAGGUGGGGUGUCCUGGACCCUGAGGCAUCAGGCCCCAGGAACCAGAAAACCUGCUCAUCUGUGUGUUUGCCAGCCUCAUUCAGAGCAGGGAACCUUCAGAGGGCCAGGCACUGGGUUUCACUUUUCAGCUGCUCAGGACACCUUUCCUCCUGAAAGUCAGGAAGCAGAGGCUGAACCUGCCUGACCACAACAGAGCCCAUAGUGGAAAGCCAAGCAGGGCCUCCCUAGAACCUGGCCUUCCCUGCUGCUCCUCCCAGCAGCCUCACAUCAUGCCCGUUUAGCUGAAGAGCCCAGCUGUGAAACUGUUCUCACCCUCAACUCAGACUCCUGCCUACUGAGCAGGCAUUCCCUGCUCUCGGCUAAGGUCAGCGUGGCCUUGCACUGUGUAUACCCUUGUCCCAGGCACAGGGCACUUGGGGCCCGGGUCCUGCACAUCUCUGCCUUGGCCAGACUCGCCUGAUGGGCUCAGGAAGGACAGAGAGGCUCUGCUACAAAGAAUCUCUGGAACUUGGCUCUUGGCUCUACUUCCCUCUGCAAACAAAGAGCAUCUGAACUUGGCCUGGGAGCUGUGCUUCACAGUGAAAAAGGGGCAUCUGGAGACAGAAGAGGCUGGAUCACCUGGCCAGGACUGCUUCAGAAAUUACAUCCCCAGGAAUUACAUCACAGGAGCCAAAGUUCAUUUAGGGCAGUUUCCCCCCUUGCUGCUGGGGUGCCCAAGGAGGAAAGCGUUCUGGGGAGACGGGGCAAUGAGAGCCUGGAACUCUGGCCUAAGAAGAAAGCAUGACCACGGGCAAGAGCCAGUGAGGAGCAGGGAAGCCUGGCCAGAGAGGCACGAGGAAACCCCAGAGCCUGUCCUUGGGACAGCAGGGUGGGGGCCGCCCACAGACACAGGUGCAGGGAUGCAGCAUGCCUGUCCACUCCUGGCCGACGCUCUUGAGCUGUCUCUUGCAGUGAGACAGGCUGCAUCAAAGCAUCCACACUCCUGGCUCAAGCAAGGGGUGGGCAAGGAGAAUGAGUCAGCCUGUGGCUGAGGCUAGUGACCUCCCACCAUUAAAGUCAGGGGACCUCAUGGUCCUCCUUGGAGGGCUCUCAGUGACUUGACCAUUCCAUUAGUCCCUCCUGGGUUCCUUGCCUUCCCCAAGCAUCCUUGUUCCCUCGCAGAUGCAGAAGGACUCCUGAGAGGUGGCAGGGCAGAGAGAGGCUCAGAGAGAGAGAGGGGUGUAGGCACCUCGGAUUCCUCUCCACCAAGCCCAUGGAGCCCUUCUGAAAAACACUGUCACCUGGGGGCCAACUCCUCUGCUUCCUUUCUCAUGUUUCCUCAGAGCAGGCAAGUCGAGUUCAGGCUUCCCCUCCGUAAUGAGAUUCUUCUGCCUGUAAGUUAAGUGCUGAACGCCCAGGCUGAGUGAGUAGGGUUUCUGGCUACCUGGUGGGGAGGCUGAGACCUAGCUGGCAAAGACUGUUAGGAUCUGCUCCUGAGAUUUCACUGGGAAUUUCCAUCUGCAGAGAGCAUGGCAUUUUCUUUCUGCACCUGGAAGUCUCCUGAAGCAACCUGGCCCUCCGUGAGCCUAGUGGAGGUGGCUGCCUGCAGGGCUGGGGUUUGACGGCACAGACACUUCUGGGGCACUGCUGAGGCACAGUGGAGACUCUUCCCUGGCAAAGCACUGCUAAGCUGGUGUCUCUUUCCUGCCUGUUGGGUAGAAAAGCCUGAGCUGAGCCCAGGGUGGAGCCUGAAGCAUGGAAAUGCCUCCCAUCACAUCCAGGGCAGGGAGGGUGGCAGGACCUGGAGAAUAGAGAACCUGCUUCGUGGCCAAAGUUCAUUUUCUUAGAAAUGCCAGGACCCUGCCUCCUAAAAGCAAUCACCUUCCACUCCCAGAAGCUUUCUCUGGCCUGUCCUCAAAGUUCCUGUCCCCAUGCACACAGCCCUAGGGAGAGGCCCUGAGGCUGGCCCCCCUGGUGUUUGAUGAUCCUGCCCUAAGGACUGUAAGGCUGAAGCUGGCACCCACACAGCUCACCAAGGGACCCAGAGCUCUCCUGGCCCAGCCUGUGGGCGGCUGUGCUCUCAGGGGAGGGGUGCCUCUCCUCUCCUUGCACCUAUCAGAGGCUGAUGUUCUCAGAGAACCACUGUGGUGUGGCAAGGCCAGGAUGCACUCCUUGGGAACCUGCCUUGGCAAUGACUGACUGCAUGGGGGUCUGGAUGGGUAUCAGUUCCCCUUCACAUUUUUUUCUCUGGAUAGUUCUCCAAGAAUGCACCCACCUCCAGAGUUCAUGAAGGCUGAGACAACUGAUGUGUCUCCGUCACUCUCUAUUAUUUUUAUGGCAAAUCCCUUACAUAAAUGCCAGGUUGACUUAGACCAACAGGUAGUGGUUCCCCUGAUGUUGCACCAUGGUAAAGAACAUCUAAAGGUCACGUGUGUGCUCGUUGAGAAAAAGUUCUGUGAUUGAUUAGCAAUGUCUGUCACGGGUAUGGGACUGGAGACUAGAGGUUUAUACGUUGUUCUGCCUUCUCUGAUGUUGCACUGAAGACUUUUAGGAGCACUUUCACAUGUGCCACCUCAUUUGAUUAGAAGUGACCUAGAAUGAUGUAGAUUAUUAUCCACUUACAAAGGGAGACAUCAGGAACAUGGAAGUUAAGUGUGUCUUUUCCUAAAUCACCCAAGUGAAUUGGGGCCAGAGCCAGGAUUAGAUCCUAGAUGUCCUGAGUUUGAAGCCAGCACAGGGAAGGCACUCACAUCAGGGAAUGCUGGUGAUCAACAUACCAAAGUGUUCCUUCCUGUGUCUUUGGGAAAAGAGUGCUUAAUAAAUCUCCAGGCUUGCAAUUUGCUAUUCUUCAUGCAUAUGUGUGGGAUGCUGGCAGGAACAGAGCAUGUGGAAAGCAAAUGGGCUGCCCACGCCAGAGCCGACUGCCCCUCUGGUUGCUUGUAACUUUCAACAGUGGGCAGGCCUGGCCCUGACUUGCUCUAAUUUCAUCAAAUCAGCAAGGCACCCCAGGAAGAGAAAAGGGACCAUUUCAGAAACAUCUGCAGGGAGCCACUCUGGACAGCUAUUCAGUUACCAUGGAAACCCACCCUAGGAAACUGCUUCAAUUUCAGGAAAAUCGCUACAAACAAUAAUAAGCAUAAAUGAAAAAUGGUACACUGUUACUUCAAAAUUGUACUUGUUAUUGGGUUUUAGGGACUGAGCCGGCAGGCACAUAUCCGUGAGCGCAGUGGAAGGCAGACAUCUCUGCCUGGCUGCAGGCCUGAUGACAGAGCCCACAUCCUCCCUCCCACCUCCCUCAUCAAGUGUCUGGAUGUGACCUCCGGGGAGGCAUUUGUCAGAGGAACUCAUGUCUGAAUUGCGGGAGGAAGGAGGACGUGCCUUGCAAAAAACAAACAUUUGCUGAGCAGACUGCAAGGCAACACAGAGCCAUGUGGAGGGGAACAUGGGCCAGGUGUGAUGUCACUGCGUGGGCUUUCUUCAGCUAACGCUGAACAUUCACAUGGGUCCAAAGUAGAUAUCCUUUAAGAAAUCGGGCAGCAGGAGUAAUAGCUGAGCUGGGAGUCUCUACUGUAAUCUGUUUUCAGGGACUCUUGGGCUGGAAAGGACCUUGUAAAGAUGACUUGGCCCAGCUCCUCCCCCAAGUGGUGUUUCCAUUCUGUUGGCAGUGUCUUCAGCAGACGGUUCCUGAGUUUGUACUUGGACUAUUCUAAGAGCUGUACGGUUUUUCCUGACACUGAGCGGAAAUCGAACUCCCUGUGGCUUCUCGUGAACGAAUCAGACCCCUUUUGGCAAUGAUAACCCUCCAGCCAUCUGGAGUCAGUCUGAUCCCUCUGUGUUCUCCAUGUGGCAGGUGUCAGUGACGCCCUCAUGGUUGCUCCCCUUAAAGAACUGUCAAAGGGGGACAUCUGAGGUGGAACCUGGACCCUGACAGGGGAAGACCAUGUAGCUAAUGGUAUGCUCAUGAAUUAUACUUCAAAAAUCACUGUGCAUGUGCAGGCCUGUAUACAUUCAGAUCAUUACAUUUAUCCUGAUACUGGCUCUCUAAAAGCAGCUAAGGAAGGAAGGGAAAAAAACAGCUAUCCCUAGUCUACUACACCAACUGUCGGAGCAGGUAUUCAGUAAAUGUUUCCUGCACCAGAGAAUCCCCACUGCACAGAUAAGUAAAACCGAGGUUCAGAGAAGCCCACGAUCACCCAGAAAGAGAAUGGCAAGGCCAGGCCAAGAACACCACCAUCCUGCUCUCUGCCUCCAAACCUUCCCAUGGAAAGUCACCGAGCCCUGGGCACCCACGUCCUGAGCGCCAUGUUGCUGGACUGGGGGCCGCUGGGCCCUCUUACCACCCCAGGGGCCAUUUUCCAUGUGUGCUUGAGUCAGGGCUGACGUGACAGCCCAUCUCAGGACAUCCUCUAAAUGACACCAAAGAGGCACAGAGCUCCUCCUAAAUGGGAGAGGCAGCCUGGUGAUCACGGAGGCACUGGGGACUCCCAGAAAGCAGAGCGUUUUGUCUAGUGUGUCCAGGGCAAGGGUCUGAUGAGGAAUAGUGAAAGCCCUUUGGGGCUACACUGCUUUACCGAAACUUACAGCAAAAAGGAAGUCACAAGGAAUAUCAACCAAACCUACAUUUUUUCAUCAACUCAGCCAGGCUCUGAUUGAAGGGGAAUGGCCCUGCCUCCGUAAGACACUUGUGUCUCCCAACAGAGCAGGGAGGAAGCCACCUCUCCCCAAGCACCAGGGAACAGGGGCGGCAGGGCACCUGCAGACAGUGGAGAGGGUGAGAGGGCAGAAGGGCCCUGAUGCCUUUCUCGGGGGCCGGGGGGCUGACUCACCAGGCUGUGCAUGAUGCGCACACCGUCGGGGUUCACCGUGAGUGCCUCCUUGUACAGCUGCUUGGCCUCCUCCAAGCUGCCCUUCAUCUCGGCUAGCCGGCCCCGCAUGUAGAGUACCGAGUGUGAGGUGGGAAAGAGGCCCGCUGCCUCCUGGAUGCAGAAACCCGCUUCCUUGAGGUGUCGCUGCUCCAUGAACAGCUCAGCUGUGAAACCAGAAGGACAGUGGGAGGUGACAGCGGUAGGAAAAGCCAGAGGCAGAGGACCCCUCCCUGCAUCCGACUGGCAGCCCCCAGAGUGGAGGGUCUCAGGUGGUGGAAGCCAUCCCUCGAGUCACAGCAUGGGCGGGGCUGGCUCUGGGCCGUGGGGGCAAUAGCAGAGAAUGGUUUCCGAGCGCUCACUCGGUGUCAGGCACCGCGCUACAUGUUCCACACGGACCGUCUCCACUGACGCGCAUAGCAGCUUGUAGAACAAGCACUUUUAUUACCCUGCUUCAGAGAGGAGGAAACUGGGGCACAGAGAGGGUAGGGAAGUGACCUUAAGACCACAGGGAGAGUCAGCUGUGGACCUAGGGUUUGCAUCAGGUUGUCUUGACCUCCAAGCUUGGCAGUGGGGGCACGGGUGGCGUCUGUAAAGGUCAGUCAGGUGGCUUUCUGCAGCGUCCCUCACUUCACCUGGUGACCUUGAGUCUCAGGGUGGGGGAUGGAAGCUGAUCAGGAGGAUGCAGGUGUGUGCUACCACAAGGCCCACAUUCCUUGAGACUGUGGGCCAAGGCCUGCUUCUGCAAAGUGUCUACUCUCAUCUGACCCUCCUAGGAGGUGCUCUCAUGAGCCCUGUGCUAACAAACCAGGCUGAGGGAGGCAGGGCGUCACUCUAGUCCCUCAGUGGAAAGGGGUGAGGCAGAGCUGGGCUCCUAGCAGCUCCGGCCUCUCUCCAAAGCCCAGGGCUUUCUGCCACACUGAGAGAAUAGGUAAUGCACGUGCCUUUUACCAACAAGCAGGAAAGAUCUGUCCCACAACCAGUUUGCCCUCUUCCCUGCAGAUCUGUGGAAAAUGGGGCCAUCUCUCCGAUCUCAGGCCAGCCCACAUAAAGGCACAUUUCAGAUCCACGCUGCACAGGUACACACCCACAACAGGCACUUUUAGAAACAGGCCGGCUGGGCUUGCAGCACGGCCUCGUGGCCCACUCAGCCUUCCUCUCCGGCAGCCCUGGGCUCAGCUGCCCCUCCCGGGGCUGGUGCCUGCACACAGAUGGGAGCACAGAAGGGCACGCAGAGCCUGGCUUGUGGCUCUGCCAGGAGCUGUUCCUAGCACAGGCCAAGGGCUGAGGUUACACUAAUUCAGGUUACACUAAUUCAGGUCUGGGGCGGGUAGAUAACAGACAUCCCCAAAGAAGCUCCCAGAACAAGGUGGAAAACCUGGGCCCAGGCAUCAUCUUCCUGUUUCAACAAGAAGCAGGAAGGAAGCCUAAGGCCUCAACUGCAGCACACAGCAUUUGGGGGUACUCAGCGUGAAUGUUGCCUAAGGUUCAUUGUGUAAUCAAAGUAGCUUGCCACAUCCUACAAUACUACAGAGGCCUUUUUGAGCAAGGGUACUCUUUUUGUCUCUAGUGGAGAUGAGAAUUUGGAAGAAUUAAGUAAACACAGAGGAGCCAGGCCCCCAUGAUAAGGCUAAAGAGAAACGCAGGCUCUUGUCCCUGUAGACAACCUGAACUGCAGAGUCCCAAGGCAGAAAGUGCAGGAAGGUGAGGCCAGGAAGGGCAGCCUUAGAGCCCAGGGCCUUGCAGGGAGGGGUUUGUCUAACUCUGCCUAAGCUCUCCUCUGCUGUGCUGUCACGUUCUCUUCUGGAGCUGCUGCCUGGGGCUCUGAGCAGGGUGCCUUCAUAACUGAGGGCCCAGUGUGCAACUACGAUGUGCUGACCAUGUGCCUGGCCCACCCACAUGAGAAGGAUAAAGAGGGGAGGUGGGGCAGCGGAGCGACCAAACUGCUGGAGGGAGCCAGGGCAAUGGAGCACCAAGUGCCAAUUCUGAAAACUCCGGGCUCUCCGAAGGGGUCAGGUCAGCUGUGCUGGUGUGGCCAGGGAAGUCUUCCUGGGGGGAGGCAACACUGGAGCGGGGGCCUGAAAGUGCAGGGGUGCUUAGACAGGCAGACAGAAGGGAGGUUGUGCAGACCUGGAGGGCUGGGCUCCACUGUGACCUGCCCGAACUCCCCAGGGUCACUGGAGGAGAGGGGGAGAAGCAGAAGGAAGCGUAUGGUGUGAGUGCCGGAGGCGGGGAGGCCUGUCCUGCACCAGCCCCUGUAGCUGCUUCCUCUAUCUACCACUAGGAGCUCAGGUCAGAGGCUAGGCUCUCCACUCCCAUAGACCUUGCCCAGCAGGCCCAGCCCACCUGCCUGCCUGCCUGGUCCUGGCAUGGCUCAUUAAGCUGUUUACAACUUGCUGUCCUGUCUCCUGAGUCCCUGUCUCUGGAGGCUGCUCCUGGGGUCUCCCUUGGCGACUCCUCACAGUGCCUUCGUAUCAACAGAUUUCAAUUACAGGGAUCCCCACCUCCUUCUUUCCUUGUGGCCCUAGCCCUUGUCGGGCUGGCCAUACAGCAGAGAACAUGCCCUGAAAAAUAGGUAGGGCUGCUUUGGUCCGAUGGACUUCAUUACCAGUUAGGCAGGAAACCAGAUGACACAGAACAGAGCCAGAGAAGUAAGGUCUCCUGAGGGCUCCUGGCUGCCUUGCAGACAGUCCCUGGCAUGCUCAGACUCCAGGGCGGGGCCUCUGACCUGCAGACAGGCCCACAGGUCUGGGGGCUGCAGUGCACCCCUUCUUCCUAGCCUCAGCGUCCCUGGGCAACUGUUUUACCAAACAUGGUGCUCCCCAGACAGUUAGCCAGCCUAUGCUCUGGCUAUAGCGUGGCACCACACCCGCCCACUGCCCUGAUUUCUUGACCUCCUGGCCUUGACUGCUAGGGCCCCAAGGUGCCCACCCAUCUGGGCCUCCCCCCGCCAGGGCUGGAGGAACACUCCCUGUUACUGGACUUUCCUUGAAUUCUCACGGUCCAGUUCACCACCCCAGCAAACAGACCUAGCUGUCCCCAGUGUCGAGGGCCCCUCUCCUAUCCCCUCAGCUCAUUUUCUCUCCCUCCCGAUUUCCCUACUCCUCUCAUCUCCUCUCUGCCUGCUCUUGACCUCUCCUCCUACCUCUCUGUCUCAGCUUUUCUCCCUCUUCUGUCCAUCUCUCUCUACCAGCCCCCACUCUGUGCUUCUCCCGGCAGGCUCCAAAUGGAAAACAUCUGUUCCCUGGAGCUUUGCAACAGUCCCUUUUAUUGUUUUUUUUUUUUUUUCUGAGGCAUCCUGAUCUAACCCUGCACCCUGAGCUGGUUCCAGUCUUUCGGCCAAAGCAAAGCUCCACCCCACCCCCAGGUUGGGGGAUGAACUCACUUUUCACCGGCUAUUUGCACACCCUCUUUGCAAGGAGGGCCUUGCCCUUGGACUAGUUCUAAGCUGAGCAGCAGGGGGAGGGAGGGCCCAGGGUCACGUCUAAGGCCUUUCAGGAGCCUCCCCAUGUGAGAGUGCACUUGGCACUCAGGCUAAAGGCAGAGGCCCCUCAGGGAAAAGCUUAGGAGAGAAGUUAAGGUUAGGCCCUUAGCUAGCCUUGAACCCCAGAAGGGAUCACCAAAACUAUCCCCCUAAAGGAAACAGGUGUCCUCCUCAUGGAGCAGACCAUCAGGACAUAUGGACACCCAGAAUAAAGGUGACAGAAGGGAGGCGGACAAGGAAGGAAAGAGAGAGACAACCAUGGAACCGAAGGAAUAACACUGAGAAUCCGAAGGUCUGAAGGCAUUUUGCAGCACACUGUUAGCUCCCAGAGACAUGAGCUUCAGUGAAAGAGGGAGGUGGGCCAUCUUGCUCUUCUGGAAGGCACCUCUCGACACACAGGAUCCUGGAGCAUCUGUUAGUCCUGGUGCCUCUCCCAUCAUCACACAGACCCUCUGCUAAAGAGGCAACAUUCCUGGAACGGAUCUCUCAAGUGGAAGCCCUCCGUGAUGCUUCUCACAUCUGACUGGGAUGGGCGGAGGCUUGAAGAGGCUUGAAGAAGGGCAGCCCUUCAUUCACUUCCAAAUGGAGCCAGGAAGAAGCAACCGGCUCAGGGCUGUGAUUCAGGAGACCCAGGUUCAAGCCCCAGCACUACCAUUUACCAGGUGAGUGACUGGCAAAUUCUCUAAGGUUCCUGAGUCUAAGUUUCCCUCCAGGGGUGAGAAUAAAAUCUGACAGUGUAUAAUAUGUAAGUAGCAAUCCCAGAACCUGGCCCAGAUGCUCAAUAAUAACUUCAUUCUUACCCCUCGGAACUUCAGUUUCCUAAACAGGUUCUUUGUGUCCUCACAGAGGAUUGUCAAAAGGUUAAAAUUAGCCUACGGAUGUAAAAGGCCCCAGGAGCAGUAAGUAGCACACUCUGAUUCAAAUAUCGUCACCACCCCCAGGCAUCAUGACCACUCAGCUGUGGGCUGUUGCCCUGGCAACCACCCCCUGUCAGUACUGCCCUCCACCCCCUGGGCGACCCCAAGGAUGAUGAUGGCCACUCACCCCAGCUGGGAGAAGCUGUACAGGGUCUGCCACAGCCGCAGCAUUUGUCUGCAGGUCACAAGGGCUUCCUCCGGGCCUUUCAGGACUUGCUCCAGCUUCACCUUGGUGAACAUCAGGCUGCAGGGAAGGACAGGAACAGUUAGCACGUCCCUGAGAGGGCCCCCUUUCCCUUGGUCUUCCUCCCAGGCUGGGAACCCAAGGGAUUCUGCCCCACCGUGCUGCCCGCUCCUCUCAUCCACUUGGCCCCUGAUCAGAUACUCUCCUGCCCCACUCUCUGAAGCACUGUUAGGUGUGUCUGCUAGUCUUGCUUUGUUUGUUCCUCUUACCCACAUCCACGGUAUGCACCAUCCUCAGUGACCAUGUGGCCAUUUUUAUAUUCACACACCCCACAGGCCCCCAGUGAACCUUGUAUAUGAGAGACCCAGAAAGCAAUUGCUCAUCCAGGAAUGGAGCUAAGCAAGGAACUGAAAAAGAAAGGUUACCUAAAGGGCAGAGUUGUGCUUUAGACCUUGCCAGCGCACAAUAAAUGCUCAAUUAACAUCUCCUAAACUGAACUGCAAACUGUUUCCUGACCCUGGAUACAUGAGGAGUGUCAUCAGUCAUGUGUUACUUUACCAAAGAAUUCUUCACUGGAUUUCCUAAAACAGCCAGCUCCCCUUAUAUGUGCAAUAGGAUUCAAGUGACACCAAGUCCUAUUCAGUCGCCAUUUAGGAACACAGUUGCUCUGCAAAGGGAGGCAGCAACUUCAGAAUCUCUUUCAACCUGAAAACUGGGCGUCCUCUGAGGUCAGGAUGCUGCUGGAUGUGGGGAUGUGGCCCUGAAGGGGGCUGGGAGGAGAGGGGAAGGGCUGCUCCCACCAGAAGGUGGGACCACAGGAGGGGCCGACAGCUCCCUUCCUCUGUCCUGGACAUAGCAGAGACCGUUAGAACACUGCUCACCAUAACUGGGGUGGGGGUGGGGGGCUGGGAGACCUGCUGUGCCAGGUGUUGACCUUUCAGUUGUCAGGGAGUAUUGGGGUCCCAGGGGAGGGUCAAGGCAGCCGGGGACACUAAGGACAUUCAAGGCAGUGGCGAUUCACUAAUGGCUGUGGAAGUACUGCAUUCUUUAUACUGUGGGUACUGCCAGCCACACUGAUGCACACCAGCUGCCUGGGCAGCAUGUGAACUUGGCUGAGCCACUGAGACCCAAACAAGGCUGUGGCUCUGGUUCUCACUGGGCGGUGAGCGUGAGGCCCUGUUAAUCCUGGCAUCGCUGUUGGGACAAACCCACAUGACUGUCAGGCCCUGUACUUGAUCGCUGCCCGGUUAGUUCUGCUGGACCAUCUGAGGUUGGCACACGGGCCCUCAUAGAAGUGGAGUCCUGCAUCUAGACAGGGUGCAUCCUGUGAUCUGAGGCUGGAGGCACCGUACAGGGAGGCCAGCCUCCACCUGGGAGCUUUCCCCUCUGACCUUUUCGCGCACUUGGAGCCCUGGCCUGAGACCUUGUGCUGAGACCUGGGCCUCCAGCCUGAUGAAGGACGUUGAUGGCCUCACUCUGCUCCUUGCUUCUCACACCUUGUUUUUCUUAGAUUGUGACUUGCUGCUACAGAAUGAAGAUCAGAGUGGAAUUUGCCCCAGUUCUCUUUCCAGAGGAGGAGGUUUGAAUUCUGGCCAAUUAUUAUUUUUCCUCCUCACCUUUCCUCAAAAACGCAUGUGCAUUUUCUGCCUCUGCUCACAGGACCCUGGCACCCCCACCCUCCCCUGGCCUCGUCUCUCCAUGUUCAUCCUCUUUCAAGCUUGACCUUAUAUCCCACCUUCUCCAGGGAGACUUCUCAGACCCUUAGGAUGCCUUGUGCCCUUAGAACAUCUACUAGUGAAUUGCCUGGCUGGCUUACAGGGAGGCCUAGGGAGGCCAGAAACUGGGGUCCCCACAGUUUAGACUGCACAGGCCUGGGCAGGAGCAUGGUCUCUGCAUCUUGGUGGGCAGCUGCUGGGGAAAACUGGAUCUGCCAUCCCUACUCUUCCUUCCUGGAUUCUAGAAGGGUCCAACACUCCACAAGUAUUAGGAACCUCUGCUUCAGGAAUAUGGAGUAGAAAACAUGAUUUCUGCCUUCAAGAUAACAAUUAGUGCUAAAAAUGACAAAUUGCCCAGCUAAUCAGGUGCUGAUUAUCAAGUGAUGAUCAACUGGAUCAGACUCAGUGCAAUGAAGGAAGAGAUAAGGGAUCUUGCUGGGGCUGGUGUUUGAUGAAAAGGAGGGUGGCUCAGUCAGUUUCAGCUCAGGUCAUGAUCUCACGGUUUGUGGGAUUGAGACCCAAGGGCUCUAUGCUGUUGGGCACUGUGCUGACAGCGUGGAUCCUGCUUGGGAUUCUCUCUGCCCCUCCCCCGCUUGUGCGCACAUGCUCUCUCACUAUCAGAAAUAAAUAAAACCUAAAAGGAUUAAAAAAAAAAAAAGGAUGGUGGGAAGGCACAUGGUUGGGAGUUGGGGGAGAGGUAAAGCAUUGGGAAGGGGGGAACCAGUGGCUGGAGGUGUUGAUGAGGCGUGAAGACCCCUUCCUGCCGGUGUGGGGAACAUCCAGGCUCAAGUCCAUUCUAAGGCUGCCCUCCCCGCCCCCCUUCAGACAACCAGAGCAGCAGAGUCCCCUGGGCAAGGCCACUUAGGGUGGGGCUAGGCUGGUUCCUGGGACAGCUCCCUGGGCGGACCAGCCCCGAAGCAUUGCCCUGGUACCCCAUCUCCCCAGACAUGCCUCCUCUUCAGCUCCUCUCUGCCAGGCCCAGACCCCCUCCUGUUCCCUGCAUCCCUGAGAGCCAGGAUGAGUGGCAGACCUGACCACACCAUGUGCCUAGAACAGAAGUGGCUAAAAGCUGAGCUGGCAUAGUGUCUUCUACCAACACAAGCUGUUAUCCUCACGGCUGCUGACAUUCCAUUAGUGUGAGUGACCCAGAACGGAAUUUCUCAACCAAACCACAUCCUUUCUGGGCUGGGGCAAGCGCUCCAAUAGUCACCCUCUGGUCAGAUCCUUCACUCCCGGAUCCUGGGAGGCUCCAGAUUAGCUCCUGAGAUCUCCUUAGUAUCACAGUUCAGCAGUGCCAAGAGGGAAUUUCCUCAACAAAGAACCCUGCCCUGACUGUCCAUGACAUCAAUUCAAGUGCCUUUGUGCAGCCACCUUCCAUUCCUGCCUCUCCUCCCAUGCCCUUGGGCACCCGCGUGCUGCUCAUAUGGGUAUUAGCAACCUGAACUGGAGGACAGGCUCCUGGACUCAUCUGUGUCCUGCUUCAUGUCAUCGCUCUUGCUAGGACUUCCCCUUUCCCUCCAACAUCCGGCCAACUCCCAACCAGAUGUCACCCUCUGACCUUCUGUGUGUCCCUGUGGGGGUUGUACACAUACCCCUUCUGGAGAGCCUUCACUAUGUUGGACUUGGUUAUCUGCACACCUGCUGGCAUGCCUCCAAUUCACUGCUGGACUCUCUCCCCUGCCCUCCCCCACUCCCUGUCACAGCACAGGGCUCCUCUCCGUCCCCUUGGCCAGGAUGGGUGGCCCAGUUCUUUGCACAACAGGACAAGAAGGCUGGCAGAGCACUGGUGUGCCACUGUGGCUGGUGGGCAACACUUUCCAGCCCACACAAGAGGCCAGAGCCUCAUCAGAACCUGGUGCUUCCUGGGCACCCCACCCCUUCAGCCCAGCCCCUGGCAUGCCUGCUUUAUACACCAAAAUGAAUCUAAAACGUCAUUUGAAGAAAGGAUUCUGAGACUUGAAAAAAGCCCACUAUUUUAAUUCGGUGGUUCUAGUCCUCCUCCAGCGUGACCACCCUUGCUCUUCUCUGAAUAUUCAGUAGUUUUUACUUAGCACUUACACAGUAUAGACUUAUAUCUCUAGAUAUUAUCUAUCUAUGUAUGUGUUUUCAUAUAUUUAUCUUUUUGCCACAUAGGCUUAUGAGUUUAAUAACACAGAUAAAUUUAUAUCAAGCAUUUUUAAAUUCAAAUAAUCUGGACACAGUGUGUGUCUGGUCCCGCCUACAGAUGGUAAAACUACUAUUUAUGUUGUCCUGUGUUCCGCCACGUGUCUCCACCUGGAUGGCAGGUACUUGCAGGCCAGGGCCCUGCUUCCCACAUCAGGGUCCUCCUCGCCUCUCCAGUGCCCGGCACAGAGCCGAGCGCAUGGUGUCUGCUUAGUUUGUGAAAAUGUGUGUUGUUACAACCAUCUGGCCACACUCAGGGGUCUCACAGUCCAUGUUAAAUCAGAGCUGAUUUCUACCACCCCCACUUCCCACUGCUGGGUCUUGGUUAGGAGGUAGGAGAGGAAAUCUGUUCACUUGGUGCCUCAUAACCGCAGAGUGGGCUGGACUCAUGUAGCCAACGAGCAACGUGCCGGCCGAGUCUGUUUUAAGCUGUCUGGAAGCAAAGUUUUACAGAGCUUGGGAAGCAGCAGGGGGUUCUGGGUAGGACAUGAAGAUGUCUGACUCCUUGUGAUUCAGGGUCUUCAUCCUGGAAGACAGUCACCCAGGCAGAGCCAGAAGUACAACCAAGGGAUGUCUCUGAGACAGGAAGGCCCAGAACAUGGGCACCUAGCAGCCCUCUCACACCCUGACGGAAGCCACUGUGGGAGAGGAAUGGCCACGCUGCUGUUCUCAGACCCUGCACUGUGAUGUCGCUCAGAGUGGACAGACACUGGCCUAGGAGUGAGAAACCUGAGCCAAAGCCCCAGCUCUGUGGUCACCCAGCAGGGCAUGUCACAGGUUCCAGUAAAACAGGAGUGAGGUCUCCCACUAGAUGAACUGCAGUGACCUAUAAGCAGCAGCUGAGAAACUGCAGCUGCAUUCAGUCCUCAAGCAUGGGCCUGCUGAGGCUGUGGGAAGGGACUCUUGCUUUCACACUGCUGGUGUAGACGACCCGGAAAAGCAGUUUCUAGGCCUCAUGCCUCUGAAGGCUCCCAGAAAACCCCUGAACCUCAUGGCCGGUUUGGCAAGGCAGGGGGCCCUCCUCGUGGCUCCCGGGACUUACGAAGGGUGUGAGAAAGGAAGAGGACAGGAGGGGAUGGACGGAGCCCCAGCCGACUAGGUUGAAGCACACCCUCUUGCCAGCACUUUCCUGUGUGUCAAGCUGUGGAAGCCCAUACCGAAUAAACACCAAGGUCUUACAAGACUGAAUGCUCUUCCCACGCCUUGCAUCUGAAGGCAGAUGUGAAAGCGAGUGUUCUCUCUGGGGAGAGGAAGGAGCAAGAGUCUAUGUAAACACACCAUGUGCUCUGUCCUGCUGCAGGGGUGAGGCUGCUGGGCCUACAGGAAGGAGUCCUGGGUCCUGGACUCCACAGUCCUGUCCAGUCGAAGUGGCAUGUGUGCCCUGGUCCUAGUAGGGAGGCCCAGUGAGGCCACAAGGCCACUCUCCAGGAGCCCACACCCUCCCAAAGAAUGCUACCUGAGCCAUGGUAGUCCACACUGGCCACCUCAUGCCCAGGCUGUGUGCUCCCUCAGCCAUCAUCCUCCCCACACACUUCAUCUACCACUGUGCUCUGAUCAAGGCAGGGACCUGCCACCUCCCGCAUCACCUGCACAGUCCAGCACCCUGGGGGCACGGACAGAUGCUCAGCUGACCUGAACAGAGCCAGCCCCUGCUGGACCAUGAAAUGUCUCAGCCUGGCAGAGUCUGUCUGCAGCCCCCUGCAUCUGGGCCAGCCCUCCUCUUGUGGGGGAAGACAGAGACCAGCAAGGCCAGUGUCUCCGGGUGUCACCACGGGGCAUCUCUGACCAUCUUCCCAGUCGCUCGGGCCAGCAGCUGAUGAAGGAGGUUCUCAAAGAAUGAUGGUCAGCCUGGCAUCCUUCUCCUCCCUCUCUUCCUGGGCCCUGCCUGGCCCAUGCUCCUGGGGCAGGAUCAGCCUCCUGAUUAUUUGUCAAAAGGAUUAAGACUUGGAGCCGUUCCCAUCUGAGGCAAAGACAAAUCAUUUUUCUUCCCACUGCCAUAAAGAGGAGAUAUCUUAGGGUCAGCCUCUUCAGAACUGGGUGAACGUGAGCCUUUCCAAAAAAUAUAUUUUUUUUAAAAAGAAUUAUUUUGUAAAUGGGGGAUAUUUUUGUGAAGAUGGCUCUAGCUAAGCAAGCAAUAGCCUGGGGUCAAAGGUCAUCUUGUCCAUUUUCCCCUUUCCAGGAGCCUCCAAUCACUUUUCCUGUGUCCCCUCCCUGGCUGCUCCCUCCAGCACCCCAUUCCUGGAGGUCGGGGAAUACCAGCAGAGAAGAGCUGGCUGCAGGGAAGGAUGUGGGCCGUGUGGGUGGCAAGCACAACAGGUCCACAUUUUCACUUCCAUGUUCCUGAAAAUGGCUCCCUAUAAAAAUCUCAACAUAUGCAAUAAACACCUGAACAUGGCCAUUGCUGUCUACUGGAAGGACCCACCUCUGGCCCGUGCCUCGUUCCCCAUCAAAUGGGAGGAAACAGACGGUGCAGGUGCACUCCCAGGCCCUGGCACCUCCUGGCAAGUGCCUUCACCUCCCUGGGACAGUAACGGAACCACCCAGGAAGGCUGCUGGGAGGACUAAGGGCAAAAGAGCCUAUAAAGGCAGCCCUGGUGCACAGCCACCCCUCGAGACAGGUCUCCUGAGUCCACACCAUCAUUGCCAGUCUUCCGUAGUGGACCCCGUGACGGGCAGGGAACAUGUCUUUCUUCUCUUUGUAUCCCCGUGACUGACCUAAUGUCAACAAAUCUGCUGAAUAACAGAAGGAGGUUGAGCCAUAGGGACUCACUGAGGCCUCUGGAGAGUUGUGGGCAUUCCCAGAUUCAGAGAAGUCCCAAGAAGACAGGCUGCAUCGCCCUGUGGAACUGUUCAUUCUUUGUGGUCCCACCAGCCCCAUCCCUCUGGCUCCUGACCAUUGUGGGAGCCUUCCAUGGUGGGGGAGGGGAUGGCGGCAGGUGUGGCGAAUGCACAAAAGGGGGAAUUAUCUCUUUAAAGGACAGUAAUUAGUAAUUCUGGCUGAUGGCUGUGCUGUGCUGUUUUAAUGAAGAGUUCUAUUUUUACAGAAAACACAUAAUUGAGUGAAAAAGCAGGCUGUUCUUUGAGUCAGGCGGCCACGCCUCUGGAAAGUCUAACUCCUGGGCCAGGAGGCCAGAGCCUGUACAUUGCACCAGGGAUACACAGGAAUUGGGCCCCACCUUACAUGCCCCAGGUCCGACUCAGUGCUGAAAAGCAGGGUCCCAGCCUGAUGAUUCGAGUCAAACCCUGGUUUCCCUUUUUCUAGCCAUGUGACCACCGGGUCAAGUCACUUUAACUUCUCAGAACCUCAGUUUUGUAUCUGUAAAAUGGGAAUGGCAGCAUUUUAUACAGUAUUGUAUACCGGCCGGGGAGGGGCAGGGGGGAGGGAGGGUUGUUAUGUGGAAACAAUGCACAUUAAGGCCUAGCAGGGCGUUCUUACUUGAUAAAGCGCUCGAUCCAGGUUUGCCCUACCUGCCAUUAUUCACCCAGCCUCGAUUACGAUGACGUACAGUUUGCUUACUUCUGCCUUCAUUUGUAAAGUGAGAGUAAUACGGUUGCUCUAUCUCCUGGGGUCCCUGAGGGGAUCAGGGAGUUAAUGCAUUUAGAGUGCUUAGAGCAAUGUCUGGUGCAGAGCACGCACUGGGCGCACUGCUGUCUUGUUAUUAUCGAAGCACACGGGGUUCGAGCGUCUCAGGGUUGUUCAGCCCGCCACGCGGCUUGGGUUCUGGCCUCUGCUCUGCCCUGUACCAGCUGUCUGACCCUGAGAUAUCAUCUAGCUUUCCCAUUAGCUUCUUCAUCUUUUCAAGUAGGAGGGCUGCAAAGAGCAAAAAGUAAACACACCCAAACAACAAAACAGGGUAAGUGGAAUGAGGGCUGUAAGACGCCAACAUCCCUGUGGGUUCCCUCCUUCCCUCCAGAGUAACAAACAAAAUGAUUCCUGUGGUCUACCCGUCGGAGGGUCUACUGCGGUGUGUGGGUGCCCAGCUGUGGGUCCCCCACAGGGAGGAGGGGGAGGCAGGGUGCAGGCCACAGUCUGCUCUGAAGGUGCUUCCAUCACCACGGGGAAGCUCAAACUGUAUAUCCCAGGCAAUCAGGGAACAAACUAGAAGAGAAUCCAGUACUCAAUGGAGUGGUUCAGUUUUGACCAACAGGAGUGAGGGGUGGGGGGCUUUCAGGGUAGCUAGAGAGGAAGGCUGGCCCAGCAGGGAUGAGGACUUGAAAGUGGGGCAGGUUGCCCGGCUGACUAGGCACAGAGGCCCCACCCACGGAUGGGAAGGGACAGGGGAAGGGAAGAAGCAGGCCCUCUGGUAGGAGUUGGCUCACCCCCUUGCCCUCAUUCAGGCUGUGGGGUCACCAGGCUCCAGCACCUGGCUCUAACCAGUGGCCCAGGAAGCCAGGCAGGUCCUGGGCAACACAGGUCACAUACACUCUACCAAAUUCCAUGCCUCUGAGAGACUCCACCAGGGAAAUUAACUGGUUAAACUCACACACAUGCUCUUUGAGGGUGUUAUCUUAAAGUGACUCUAAGAGGAGUGACCUCCCUGAAAGGCCAUAGUGAAGCCCAGCUUUCUUCCCUUCCCAGAGACUUACCCCAAACAUGGAAGGGACCCUGAUGACAGCUCUUAGCUGUAAAAACCAAUGAUUUUACCUUGGGUCUGGAGGAUUAAAUGACCCAUGUACCCUAAUCUUUUAAGGCUCACACUGAUCCCUCACCUCUUAAUGAAUUCAUUCAAAGUGAACCGAUUUUGGGGCACUUGGGUGGCUCAGUUGGACAAACAUCAUCUGACUCUUGAUUUUGGCUCAGGUCAUAAUCCCAGGGUUGUGGGGCUGAGCCCAGUGUUGGGCUCCGAGCUGAGCAUGGACCCUGCUUAAGACUCUCUCUCCUACUCUCCGCCAUGCCCCGCACCCCCUCCCUUGCCCAACCUACCUCCCUGAUAGCCAGCAAGCUUCUGAUUCCUGAAAUCAGCUCCUCCUUGCUUCAAAAGUCCUGCCCCUGCCUGGAGAAUAGCCUCAGGGCAUUUCUGAGAGGGUUACCUAAACUCUCUGAGGGCUGGCUGCAUGGCAAGGCCUUCUUUUUUUUUUUUUUUCCUGUUUAUUUUCUUAUUUUGAGAGAGAGGGAGAGAGAAAGGGAGAGACAGAAUCCCAAGCAGGCUCCUCGCUGUCAGCACAGAGCCUGAUGUGGGGAUUGAUCCCAUGAACAGUGAGAUCAUGACCUGAGCUGAAAUCAAGAAGAACACUUAACCGACUGAGCCACCCAAGUGCCCCAUGGCAAGGCCUUCUUAUCUGUGCAGACCCAAGGCUGACCCGGCAGGCCUCCAGGCCCUGCUUCCCUCAGCUACUGCUCCCUCCAGUUAUCUCCAGAUGACUCUACAAACACAAAUGCGUGAUCUUGAAAGAUAAGAACACAAACCUUGCAGAGCCUUUCCAUAACCAUUCAGGAGUGGAAGCACAUCCAGAAAGAAGGUCCCUAGGUGGAACAAAGGUAGGCUCCCAACCUAGUAUAAGACACCAAGAGGCAAACACCUUCAUCUUAGUCUAUAAUCUCAGCCCACUGAGCACACACUUGGGAACCUACGACCACCCACUGUAGCAGGGAGGCCAGCCCUGCCUCAAGGGCAAGAAUGCCCUCUCUCCCAGAGGCAGAAAGGCUUUCUCUUGGGGCUCGGCCACAGUGCCUAUCUCCAGUAAAUGUUGUAAGCCAGGAGAUCAGGGAGUGAGGAUCAGGAAACCAAGGGCUAAAAUCACUUCAACAAGUAAAGAAUUCCUUUCGGAAAAAACUGCAAAUAAUACCUUCCUUUCCUUUCUCUCUACCCCAAACAAACAAAAUAACCUGGGUCAUCUACCCGCCUGUCUGAGCACAAGCAGACUGCCAUGGGGAGACUGAGGACUCUGUCUGACUACAGUGUCACACAGAGCAAGAUCACAGGAGGCUCCACAGAACAACCAGUGAAGGGAAAUGCUGAAUGUCAAACCAGCUUAGCUGAUGAGGAACUGACCUUUGGAGAAGAAAGUGCUGGUGCCAGUGAUUACGCCUGGCUUAACACUUCCCUCAGCCACAUGGCCUGCAAGUUUAACCCCUGGCUCUUGUCCUCACUGGGGGCUGUGGCGGCCAAAAAUGUUUAAUGAAUCCAGCAAAGUGAUAAACUAUGUUUGUGUUAAUACCUUUGAUUCCAGCCCCCUCGCUGGAGUGUUGGUAUUUUAAGUGUCUUUUUGAUCUACUACAAGUCCCUAGUAAGAGCCAUCCAAUAAACACACUGGGUUUAAGUCAGAAAUGUUAAGACAGGCCCGGGACUCUGAUCCUUCUGCCUGGUGGAAUGCACGGCUAGAAACAUAUCCCAUGCAACCUGAGAAAAAGGUGAGGCAGGCCAGGUAGCUCAGAGAAGUGCCCUUGAGGCCAUAGUUCACCUUAACUACAAUCAGCCAACAUCUGGCCCCAGCUCAUGCCUAGUUAUCAGCUCAAACAUUUUCCAAAACAGCCAAGGUUUCCUGGGGGAGAUGGCCGUGCCUAUAGUUUGUUUAUACAUGACAAGCUCCAGCUUGUUGAGAGGGCCAUAUUAUUCCUGCACCGGGGGAGUGCAUCCGGACUCCGAUACACCUUCCCCUAGGAUCUUCCAAGUCCCCCAGAUUCUGGGCUGGGCCAGGCAGAAACUCCCAAAAGGGCCUAGCCUGACCCUGCACCCACCAGUCCACCCACAGUCUGGGCUUUCAAAACCGGUCUGGCAGGCUGCCAGACAUGGGGUGGGGGCAGUGACUGACAGGCUGGUUAUUGGAAAGCUCCCAUCAUUAGCCUAGGAAUUUUGUUUGGUUACCAUGGUGACCCUCACUACAAGUGCACUGACUAAAGCACAAGGAAUCUGUUACCUAAAACCAGUGCCCAUGGAGCCCCAGCUUCAGGAACCAUGCUUAUCAGUGGUCCGUUCCCCUUGACCCCAUAUUCCUGCCCCUCCCCAGCAGAGCCUCCCAGCUGCCUCCCCUAGCCUGGAUGAGGAGGAAGGACUAGCACAGGCAGCCUCCAGCUCACACAGGACAGAGACCGCUCACAUUCCACCGCCUGGCUGGCUUGGAACCCAGGUCCAAAUAGGGAGUUUGCUGCCCCCCUGAGGCCCCCUGCAGGCUGGCCAGGGACGGCCCGACCAGCACAUGUGUCCAGGGCUUAGUCAGAAGCCCUCAGGAUUUCAGGAAGCUGCUCAGGGUGUCUGGUUGCCCCCGUGCCAGGUUCACACUGUCCCCGCGGGGCCAUCAGUCUCUGCCUCAUCACGUUUCUGCCUUUUAAACCCGAGCUCCAUUAACUAAAGGUCAUCCCACAGCACAGAAAUCAAGAUCCUCUUUGCUUUUGCUUUCUAAUCCCUGAAUUUAGGGGGAUUUUCAGAAGUUCAGCUCCAUGAGGGCUGGGUUUUUCUCCAGGAGUCUUAAGACUGCCUGUAGGAAGGGUAGCAUCCGUUGCAGCUAAGGAACUUCGACACCUUCCUGCCUCGGCCUGCGCCUCCCUGCCCUCCUGCUAACGGUUCCCUCCUCCAGCUCCAGGCCCAUCACACACCCUACCCUCAGCUGCCACAUUGCUGUCUUACACUGUUGGUGCACUACCUUCCAGAAUGCCCCACAUUGCUGCCCUUGAGCAUGCUUCUAAACCAACUGUGAGACCUUCUCUUGCCCGAGUCUCACAACAGACCUUGGAGGCAGAGGGAGGCAGGACAGAUGUCUUUGGCAGAUGAGGAAGCUGCUGGAAGUGGCACAGGUUAAGAGCAUGACCCAGUGAGGGCAGGAACCUAACUGUGGCCCUCACGUGGGGACAAGCUCACAUGGGAAGGGUUCCAUCCCACCCACUGCCAUGUCCCCUGUGCCAUACCUCCUCUAUACUUGACAUGUGCCUGCCAGCCUCUUCCUUCAUGAAGACAGCCUCUGGGAGCCAAUGCACAGGCAGGUUCUACAGAAAAGAGCCUCUGAGAGGCCUCAGCCACUUAGGAGCACACUGUGGGGAGCUCUUAGGGUGGCAUACACACCUCACUGGGGGCACUGAGGUCAGGGUGAAGGGGGUUUGAUCUUUUUGUUUGACUGCAAUGAUAUUUACUGGACCGGCUGUUGAAUUCUCUGCCAUGGCAACAGCUGGAGCCACACACAGCUUGUUCCCAGCACAGGGAGCAGCUGGGGGACCAGGAUGCAGUUUUAACUGAAAGAGCAAUGACAUUUGUCAGUGAUCCCUGGCCGGUAAUGGACUCAAUGACAUUUCCUGCUAAUCCAUGGGUUUUUGUGCUCUGUGGUUUCAUCUGUGGGGAAUAGUAUUGCCUUAUUUGCAAAAAGCCACGGUCAUGCUCUAUGGCCACCCCACAGAGCUACAUGGUAGGUGGAUUUUCCACACCCACUCCCAACUUCUUAUAUAUGUAUUUUUUUUUAAAGGUUGAUUUUUUUUUUUUCUUAAUUUUAAAUAACAGAAAUGCACUGUCUCACAGUUCGGAAGGCCAGACGUGGCCUGUAGAUAUUUUUUAGUUUUGCAGCCUUUUAGGGCUGGCUCUGAUCAAGACAGAGAUCCUCAUGGCCAUGGAGGUGAGGGGCUCACGGUGGCUUAGAGAUAAAGAAUCUGCCACUGCUUCUCUAUCCCCACUGUUCCCAGUGGACACGCUUUGCACAGUGAGGCAUCACAGAGAAUGGGAUGCUCUGGUCCCCAGGCCUCUCUGCAGUGACACAAAAUGGAAGAACCCUAGGGAUGGGACUCAAACACUUCCCCUUCUUGGGCUUGGACUUCAAAGAUGCCUCCCUGCUGCCAGCCCCAUGGCCCAAGCUCCCAAGGCCCCAGCAGUGACCCCGUGGAGUCUAGUCUAGAUGGGACAGCUGUGUUCUCAUGCAGAGGCUGUCCCUUCAGAAGGCUCCUGCCUGAAGAAAUAGGGGCACAGUUGACACAAAGGGGCACAAUUAUCCUACAAGUUGACCAAGAGCCCAGUCUGCACUGGGGAAGCGCUUGCCAUCUUUUUUGCGUUUAGGGUCCCUUGGAGAAUCUGCUGAAAGUCAUCUCCCUGGAUACACACACAUAGGCACAAAUGUUAUGGUUUGGUUCUAGGCAUUCCUGGAGGCCCCAAAGCCCACCCACACCUCCUAAGGAGGAGUCACCAACCUCAGCAAGGACCACCUCCCCCACCACCCAUGAAGGUCCUUGCAGUGAGUGAAGCGUUUCCAGGUGAAGGAGUGUGCACCUGAGGGGGCAGGAAGGGGCGGAAAGCGUGCUUGAGGGGAAGGGGACACACACUGCCCACACAGUAGGGAAAGGCUGCCGAGAAGGGGGCUUCCUCACCAGGCCCCGGAGCCCAGGAGGCAGGAGGCACCUCCCCUGUAGUGGGUCAGGAUGCUGAGGCAGAACCAGAGGGCUCACCCCCCCAACACAGUGGGAAGUGCCAUUAGCCUCCCCACUUCAGGCCAAGGGAUGAGAUUCUGGCAGCAGAAAGAAUUCAGCCCAGAAGUUAGGAGGAGACACUGCGGUGAGAUGUCAGGCGCUGGAGUGGGUUGAGGGGAGAGCUCCCUGCAGGGACUGGGGGUCCGAGGAAGGGCCAGAUGCAUGGCAUGACAGUCCCCUGCCCUGCUUCCAUCAGGACAGCUCUGCUCCCCUCUGUUCCCACACCAUCUCAACUAACAUGUAAGAUUUCACUUGGGAAAAGGAGUUGCUGAUAAAACCAUGUGUGACACCAG